rnacentral:misc_RNA from 1 species
UACGGAGGGUGCAAGCAUUAAUCGGAUUUAUUGGGUGUAAAGAGCGUGUAGGCGGGUAAGUAAGUCAGAUGUGAAAUUUCGAAGCUCAACUUCGAAGCUGCAUUUGAAACUACAUAUCUUGAGGGUAGACGGAGAAAACGGAAUUCCAAGUGUAGCGGUGGAAUGCGUAGAUAUUUGGAAGAACACCGGUGGCGAAAGCGGUUUUCUAGUUUAUUCCUGACGCUGAGACGCGAGAGCAAGGGGAGCAAACAGG